rnacentral:rRNA from 1 species
CUCGUGUCGUGAGAUGUUGGGUUAAGUCCCGUAACGAGCGCAACCCUUGUCCUUAGUUACCAGCACGUUAUGGUGGGCACUCUAAGGAGACUGCCGGUGGACAAACCCGGAGGAAGGUGGGGAUGACGUCAAGUCAUCAUGGCCCUUACGGCCUGGGCUACACACGUGCUACAAUGGUCGGUACAAAGGGUUGCCAAGCCGCGAGGUGGAGCUAAUCCCAUAAAACCGAUCGUAGUCCGGAUCGCAGUCUGCAACUCGACUGCGUGAAGUCGGAAUCGCUAGUAAUCGUGAAUCAGAAUGUCACGGUGAAUACGUUCCCGGGCCUU